rnacentral:rRNA from 1 species
UACGUAGGUGGCAAGCGUUGUCCGGAAUUAUUGGGCGUAAAGAGCUCGUAGGCGGUUUGUCGCGUCUGCUGUGAAAACUCGGGGCUCAACCCCGGACUUGCAGUGGGUACGGGCAGACUAGAGUGUGGUAGGGGGAGACUGGAAUUCCUGGUGUAGCGGUGAAAUGCGCAGAUAUCAGGAGGAACACCGAUGGCGAAGGCAGGUCUCUGGGCCACUACUGACGCUGAGAAGCGAAAGCAUGGGGGAGCGAACAGG